rfam:Burkholderia sp. TSV86 TSV86_64, whole genome shotgun sequence.
ACGGCUCUCAGGUUCUGGCAGAGUGGCCCUCGGAUAAACGCCGGAACCUUUUUAGGCCGACCGUCUACGGUCGGCCUCUUUCUA